CACUCCUUUUCUUUGAGGAUGCUGUGCCUGUUUCCCAUUUACGGAGGGCAACACCCAGCAGCAAUGACGAGACCACCCCAGCUACGCUGUCCGCCUACUACAUAUGCGUCAGAAUCACCAACCGGAUUUACACUGAGUCACUCAAUAAUCAAAGCUCUAAGGAGUACAAACAGCUGAGGAAACAGGUGGAGCAAAUGGUAAGAGUGUGUUUUUUACUGCUCAGGUCAGUCCAUAGAGCUUUAACUCAUCACUCAGUCUAUACCCACAAAAUAACUCUUUGUCCUGGAGAUACUUCAUGCUUUCCAAGAAAAUGGAAAUGCUCCAUGGCAUUUCCAUUGUUUUGGCCAAAAGUUCAAUUUAUGUCUUUACUGCAUUUAUACCAAGCAACCAUUGUGAGUGUACCCAUGAGUUUACCAGUCAAAUUGCCAGAGUUAGAUGUUCCCAAGGCUAUUCUAUUCACUCUUUUCUUUGUCACCAACAUCAUCAGCUCUCCAACACCUAGCAGUGAGCACUAUUUUAGCAGUCAACAACAAAAUGAGCCAUCACUACUAGCUCACACUCCAGUUGACCCACUCCACUACACCAUAGACAAGGAUACUAUAGACACCCCCCUUACAACCUGUUCCUCAAUAUUCAAACAAGUAAAGGUGUGAAGACAUGCCUUGUAGGCCUGUAGGAUAAUAUUAAAGUGCUCCUCUGAUUGCUGUGUCUUUCUUUUUCAGGUGGAUGACAUCCACAGCCCUUUACCAGCGUCUGACAAAUAUAUGGGUGUAUUUGAUAUCAUCUUCAGGUGAGCUCUAAUGUUGAAUUUAAAAUUCUGCCAUUGAAAAAAAAUAGCAUUCUUAAGGACAUUGACAAUUAUACGCUAAAAUUAUUUUUGACUACUGGUCUCACUCUUGCAGUAAUGGAUCUGUCAUUGCAAACUCGACAGUAAUGUUUGGGACUACAUUCAUGAUCACUCCAACUUUGGUUAAAAGUCUAUUUUACACACAUAUCCAAUCAAAUAAAUCCAAAACCCUUGACCUGGACCGCGCCUAUACUGAAGGUCAACUUCCAAUAAAAGCCACACUACCUCUUGUAGCACGUACCACAGCAACCGUAGCUGCCUUAGUUAGUAUGGCUAGCCGUUUAGGAAGGGACGGGGAUGCAACUACAUCUACAGCAAUUACUUCGUCUGGCAGCAUCACAAGUAGUCAGACACUCACCACCACCGCCACUAGUCCUGACAAAAUCAAUACAUUUAGUAGCAUAACCACUCAUAUCCCUGAAGACCAUAACAGUACAAUUAGCAGCAUUACCACUCAUAUCCCUGAAGACCAUAACAGUACAAUUAGCAGCAUUACCACUCAUAUCCCUGAAGACCAUAACAGUACAAUUAGCAGCAUUACCACUCAUAUCCCUGAAGACCAUCACAGUACAAUUAGCAGCAUUACCACUCAUAUCCCUGAAGACCAUAACAGUACAAUUAGCAGCAUUACCACUCAUAUCCCUGAAGACCAUCACAGUACAAUUAGCAGCAUUACCACUCAUAUUCCUGAAGACCAUAACAGUACAAUUAGCAGCAUUACCACCCGUAUUCCUGGAGACCAUAACACUACAACUAACAACAUAACCACCCCUAGUCCUGAAGAGCAUAACAUUACAGUAAGCAACAUAACCACCCGUAUUCCUGGAGACCAUAACACUACAACUAGCAACAUAACCACCCCUAGUCCUGAAGAGCAUAACAUUACAGUAAGCAACAUAACCACCCGUAUUCCUGGAGACCAUAACACUACAACUAGCAACAUAACCACCCCUAGUCCUGGAGAUCAUAACAUUACAUUUAGCAACACAACUAACCCUAUUACCCCUAAAAAUCCUCCCCAGACCAUUAGCACGACUGUCUUUCAUAAAACCUUUCUAUCAACAACUACCUCGGGCCAAUCUAACCCACCAGUUGCCCCUACUGAGAGAGCAACAAGCAGGUAUCAGGAUGCCACGGACGAAACAAUCAGUCAUAAGAACCCAGAGAAUACGGAGGCAACCCAUAAGACCACAGAUCAUGCUGCAGCUGUAGUUGCUGGGGGCGGAGAGGGAGUCCCAGGAUGGGGGAUCGCUCUAUUGGUACUGGCUGCCCUGAUCUUGUUAAUCCUCCUUAUUCUCCUAAUACUGCUGCUAGUGUGGUUGUGCUGUAGGCAGAGAUGUGGAAGUUUCAGCCCAUAUAACCAGAUCAACCACGGGGCAGACAUCCAAAUGUACUCCACACACAGCCGCUUCAACGUGCCCAACGGCAAGCCUAAUGACGAAAUGGGAGAACUAUCGAAAAACCAAACAGGGAUGUAUGUGGUGAACGAGUACUGACACACAGAAGCUCCAGUCAAUUGGGUAAGAAGACCAUCUGAAAUGGCCUUAUGAAGUAACAUGCAUGGGAGCAAUGACAAUUCUGUACAAAUGGUUCAAUUAUGUCUGAAGUAUCUGAAUGAAGAUCAUGGCGUUGGCUCACUGAUUGUAAUUUCAACCUGUAUUUAUUCAAAUCACAUUUAUUUAUAAAGCCCUUUUUACAUCAGCCGAUGUCACAAAGUGCUAUACAGAAACCCCGCCUAAAACCCCAAGCAGCAAGCAAUGCAGAUGUCCUAAUGUUAUUUUAUUCCUAAUGCUUUUACCAGUGGAGGCUGCUGAGGGGAGGACGGCUCAUAAUAAUAGCUGGAAUGGAGUCAAUGUAAUGGUAUCAAACACAUCAAACAGCUGGUUUCCAUGUAGUUGUUACCAUUCCAUUCUAUUAUUCUGUACGUAAAUCCGAGACACUCCAUUUAGUAUAUGUUACUCCUCCCUGACCAACCUCCCUACUUUAGUUUCUGUCUAAAGUAACUAGGCCAUUAAAAGGUAUCAUGUGUCUUGACGUGCUCAGAAAUACGUAAAGUAUGUUUUGAAUGGCUCUGAGGCCAGGCUGGCCAUUUUGGCUUCAUUGUGGCAAUAGUUUGAGUUGUAUUUUCAGUCUUUACUGAAGGCAAGCUUAACCUUGGUAAAAAAAAAGAAAGAAAGCUGAUCCUAGAUCAGUAAAUGGGGUCAACAUAUGUAUCCUGCAAUUAACAUGUAAGAAGAAUGAGUAGGGGUGCAAUACCCAAUCAGGUACAGUUAACGAGAAGUUCAUUGUUUUCAAAGACUAUAAAUCAAACCUUUUGACUUGGGCUGAGAGAUCCAGAUCUAAUUCCCUACCGCUGGAUAAGACAUGUUUUGAGAUAGGAUGCUAGCAUGCCAAACAGUUAACUAUUCCACAAACCCAACCCAGUGAGUGAAACACCAAUGUUAUGUAUAUUUGACAAUCUGAUUAAAUAAAUCCACCAUUAUUAAUCAAAUCUGUGAGAUGCAACUAUCUGUAAACAUUUGAAGUGAUCGUGCAUUGACGCUUUAAACUUUGCAUAAAAAUACAUCUAAAUCAUUUUUAGAUUAAAUAUUUGUAAAUAAUAAAGUGUCAGUUAGAUUUUUAUGGGCAGACGUAGUUUGGAUGCGUUCAUGGUUUCUAAAAGAGUCGGAUGAUUCUGUUCAUCAGGAGAACUGAAGCUAGGGCAGAACAGACAUGCCUCUGUUUCUAUCCAAGCCUGCCCACAUCCCCUGGCUUUUCUUUCUUUUAUUCUUUGUGUGAAAGGAACAAGUAAAUAGCUAUCUAGAUAACGUGCGUUACAGUUAGGCAGGGUGUGGCGGUGUGAUAAUGAAUAAGGUAUUGUAUUAAAUUACGAAAUGAGUCCGACUCCAUAAAAUUAUGAAUUACUCAAACGUUGUCCAUUAUAUGCAAGUCGGUGUGUAUUAAAAAGGCAACACCUUUUUCUGUUAUUUGGACAAGGUUUAACAUACAUAUUUGACAUGUGGAUGUCCUGGAAACAGAUACAUAACAUUCAUGAUAACCAGCUACCAAGUGACAUUGAGAAUUGAACGCUUACAUUUUUCAAGGUGUGCAGUACAAAUCGCAUUCUUAUCCAAAAUGCAUGAGGUGUAUAUGUCCAUUCCUCUCCAUAUCCCCUAUCUUUGUAGUCUGUAUUAGAUAAUGUCUUUCUGCAGUCGCAUUGUGUAUUUUUCCUGGAAAACAUCACAGUGGUUGCUGUUACUAAUACUGUUCAGCAGGAAGAUAAUCAAUCAGAGAGAAACCUUCAACCAAAACAAAUAAGAUCAGUUCUUAUUGUUUCUGACACACUGAGGUCAUUGUUUGAUUAUGACCUCAGAAACAAUAUGAUUUAUCACUUGGCUGGGCUUAAAAAUCUAUCAACCAAAAGGGCGAAGUCAGAAUGCAAUCUUAAGUCAUUUGCUAACAGUGUAACCAAACAUUAUUCCAGCAUGUAGAUGUACAUACUAAUAGAAGCAUACACCCAUGCAAGACUUCUUUACCCAACAGAGUCAACCUGUUCAAAUAAACUCAGCAAAAAAAGAAACGUCCUCUCACUGUCAACUGCGUUUAUUUUCAGCAAACUUAACAUGUGUAAAUAUUUGUACGGACAUAACAAGAUUCAACAACUGAGACAUAAACUGAACAUGUUCCACAGACAUGUGACUAACAGAAAUUGAAUAAUGUGGAGGGAUUGUGCGUUCCUGGUGUAACUCGGGCAGAUGUUGUUGCCAUCCUGUACCUGUAAGCUGUUAGUGUCUUAAUGACCAUUCCACAGGUGCAUGUUCAUUAAUGGUUUAUGUUUCAUUGAACAAGCAUGGGAAACAGUGUUUAAACCCUUUACAAUGAAGAACUGUGAAGUUACUUCGAUUUUUACAAAUUAUCUUUGAAAGACAGGGUCCUGAAAAAGGGACGUUUCUUUUUUUGCUGAGUUUAAUUCCAUCAAGAGGAUAAGUCAAUUGUCUAUGGCAAAAGGUAAAAUCCACAUAUGAAGGUAUGCAGACACAAAUACCUUAGUGGUAAUGAAUAAGUCCCUGAGUCACUCUCAUGUAACUUACAAACAAAUCAGACAAGUGACACACUAUGAUGAUAAGACAAAUCUAGAAAAUAUAACCUAUACAGUAAUAUGACAUCACCAAUACAGACAAUAUGCUGGCAAGGAAAUGUGGCAUCAAGACCUGAUUAUACCUUGAAUGCCCUGCCACAUAUUUGCCCACUGAUAUUGGCACAGAGGGUGUGGUGCUCCUAAUACUAACAGCAGGUCCGAUUACCUCUGCAUGGUAAAAGCCAGGACAGUUCGGGGAAAAUGGGAUAGUUCAGGAUCUGAUGAAGAUUAUUCUCCAACUCUUUCCACCUGAAUGUUAUUCCUAGUGACAAUAAAAUGUAAUGACUUAUAAUGAAUUAGAGAAAUCCAACACUUCCAAUCUUUUCACUGUGGAUUUUGACUUGUUGAUGUGAAUUGAGUCCCUAAAUUAACGCAAAAAUUUAGUUAAUUAGUUACUGUAGAAAACCAUUUUAAAACAGUUUUACAUUUCAUUAUUACCCCCCAUUUAACAUUCAAUAUUUCUCUUUGAAAUUGCCCGAUUUGCAUUCAAAUGUCACGCAUUGCUUCAGAUCAACCAUGAGUUUGCAACACUGUAACAGUAGGUGUUAAAUCCUACAUAAACAGCUGACACACAAAGGCUGCUUUACAAAGACAGCCCAAUUUUGAUUAUUUUUUCUAGAGGUCGACCGAUUAAUCGGAAUGGCCGAUUAAUUUGGGCCGAUUUCAAGUUUCAUAACAAUCGGAAAUCGGUAUUUUUGGGCGCCAAUUCUUUUUUUUUACAACUUUUUUUAAAGAGGCAAGUCAGUUAAUUAAGAACACAUUCUUAUUUUCAGUGAUGGCCUAGGAACGGUGGGUUAACAGCCUUGUUCAGGGGCAGAACGACGGAUUUUUACUUUGUCAGCUCAGGGAUUCAAUCUUGCAACUUUACGGUUAACUAGUCCAACGCUCUAACCACCUGACUCACGAGGAGCCUGCCUGUUACGCGAAUGCAGUAAGAAGCCAAG
ensembl:lncRNA